rnacentral:rRNA from 1 species
GAUGAACGCUGGCGGCGUGCCUAAUACAUGCAAGUCGAGCGAACAGACGAGGAGCUUGCUCCUCUGACGUUAGCGGCGGACGGGAGAGUAACACGUGGAUAACCUACCUAUAAGACUGGGAUAACUUCGGCAAACCGGAGCUAAUACCGGAUAAUAUAUUGAACCUCAUGGUUCAAUAGUGAAAGACGGUUUUGCUGUCACUUAUAGAUGGAUCCGCGCCGAAUGAGCUAGUUGGUAAGGUAACGGCUUAGCAAGGCGGUGAUGCGUAACCGACCCGAGCGGGAGAUCGCCCAGAUGGGAACUGAGAAACGUUCCAGACACUUACGGGAGGAAGCAGUCGAGAAUCUUACGCGAGGGGGGAAUGCCGGACGGUGCAACGCGGCGGAAGUGAUGAAGGUCUACGGAUGGGAAAACUCUGUAAGUAGGGAGGAAGUAAAGUGUAAGUAACUAUGCAGGUCUUGACGGUACCUAGAGAGAAAGCCCCGGCUAACUCCGUG